rnacentral:lncRNA from 1 species
GCAUGAUCCAUAGUAUAAAGUCCUCAAUCGUCAUGUCUCAAACAUGAAAUAUCCUCUACCGACCUAUAGGUCAGGAUCUAAGUACAAUAUCAGGUGCUAUUAUCAACUAGAUCAUAGCUAGUAACAUGAAGUACAUGCUAGUUUUAUCAAUUAGAUGCCAAGUUUAACUUGUCUACAUAAGUAUUUUGACCACUUUCUAAUACAUGUUUCAUAUGUUCAAUACAUGUACAAUACCCACUAGGUUAUAAUAACAACAUAUCAUUCUUGCUAGUCUAAGCAUAGUAUACUCGUUCACAACUUGCCUAUACAAGUAUAUGCGUUAUUAUGCAAGGAAUUUAACCUCUUUAGCUCUCUAUCAUAUAGAGGAUAACCUGCCAUAUGAUGUAAAUAUGUUACUAGUACAUCCAACAAUUCACUUACGAUACCGUUAGCGAAACAUAGGCAUAAUUCUAGCUCUAUGCCAAGAAUAAGAAUAUAGGGAGAAUUCACCCAUUUCGGUGAGGUCAAACCCACCAAAUUGUCGACGACUCUCGUCGAUUUCGCGAGCGAAG